AUUAGUGGCGACGGGUGAGUACACGUGGGCAAUCUGCCCUUCACUCUGGGACAAGCCCUGGAAACGGGGUCUAAUACCGGAUACCACUCCUGCCUGCAUGGGCGGGGGUUGAAAGCUCCGGCGGUGAAGGAUGAGCCCGCGGCCUAUCAGCUUGUUGGUGGGGUAAUGGCCCACCAAGGCGACGACGGGUAGCCGGCCUGAGAGGGCGACCGGCCACACUGGGACUGAGACACGGCCCAGACUCCUACGGGAGGCAGCAGUGGGGAAUAUUGCACAAUGGGCGAAAGCCUGAUGCAGCGACGCCGCGUGAGGGAUGACGGCCUUCGGGUUGUAAACCUCUUUCAGCAGGGAAGAAGCGAAAGUGACGGUACCUGCAGAAGAAGCGCCGGCUAACUACGUGCCAGCAGCCGCGGUAAUACGUAGGGCGCAAGCGUUGUCCGGAAUUAUUGGGCGUAAAGAGCUCGUAGGCGGCUUGUCACGUCGGAUGUGAAAGCCCGAGGCUUAACCUCGGGUCUGCAUUCGAUACGGGCUAGCUAGAGUGUGGUAGGGGAGAUCGGAAUUCCUGGUGUAGCGGUGAAAUGCGCAGAUAUCAGGAGGAACACCGGUGGCGAAGGCGGAUCUCUGGGCCAUUACUGACGCUGAGGAGCGAAAGCGUGGGGAGCGAACAGGAUUAGAUACCCUGGUAGUCCACGCCGUAAACGUUGGGAACUAGGUGUUGGCGACAUUCCACGUCGUCGGUGCCGCAGCUAACGCAUUAAGUUCCCCGCCUGA
rnacentral:rRNA from 1 species